rnacentral:rRNA from 1 species
ACACAUGCAAGUCGAGGGGCGGCGGGAUUGAAGCUUGCUUCAAUUGCCGGCGACCGGCGCACGGGUGAGUAACGCGUAUCCAACCUUCCGUACACUCAGGGAUAGCCUUUCGAAAGAAAGAUUAAUACCUGAUGGUAUGAUGAGAUUGCAUGAUAGCAUCAUUAAAGAUUUAUCGGUGUACGAUGGGGAUGCGUUCCAUUAGGUAGUAGGCGGGGUAACGGCCCACCUAGCCAACGAUGGAUAGGGGUUCUGAGAGGAAGGUCCCCCACAUUGGAACUGAGACACGGUCCAAACUCCUACGGGAGGCAGCAGUGAGGAAUAUUGGUCAAUGGACGAGAGUCUGAACCAGCCAAGUAGCGUGAAGGAUGAAGGUCUUACGGAUUGUAAACUUCUUUUAUAAGGGAAUAAAACCUCCCACGUGUGGGAGCUUGUAUGUACCUUAUGAAUAAGCAUCGGCUAACUCCGUGCCAGCAGCCGCGGUAAUACGGAGGAUGCGAGCGUUAUCCGGAUUUAUUGGGUUUAAAGGGAGCGCAGACGGGUCGUUAAGUCAGCUGUGAAAGUUUGGGGCUCAACCUUAAAAUUGCAGUUGAUACUGGCGUCCUUGAGUGCGGUUGAGGUGUGCGGAAUUCGUGGUGUAGCGGUGAAAUGCUUAGAUAUCACGAAGAACUCCGAUUGCGAAGGCAGCACACUAAGCCGUAACUGACGUUCAUGCUCGAAAGUGUGGGUAUCAAACAGGAUUAGAUACCCUGGUAGUCCACACGGUAAACGAUGGAUACUCGCUGUUGGCGAUAUACGGUCAGCGGCUUA